GGACGAUAAGACCCUAGAAGCUUUAGUUUUUAGUGAUAUAAUAUAGUUAUAUUUAUAGGUUAUAUUUUAAAAAAUUUUGAUUGGGGAAAUAAGAAUUUUAUAAAUAAUUUUGUUAGGUAUGAUUAUAAUAUUUAAAGAUCUUUUAUAUAAAAAUGGGAUGUAAAAGUUACUCUAGGGAUAACAGCAUAAUAAUUUUGGAUAGACCUUAUAUAUAAAAUUGAUUAUGACCUCGAUGUUGAAUUAAAAAUAUCUUUAUAAAGUAGAAAUUAUAAAAGAAGGUUUGUUCAACCUUUAAUUUUUU
rnacentral:rRNA from 1 species